rnacentral:rRNA from 1 species
UACGUAGGUGGCAAGCGUUGUCCGGAAUUAUUGGGCGUAAAGCGCGCGCAGGCGGUUCCUUAAGUCUGAUGUGAAAGCCCACGGCUCAACCGUGGAGGGUCAUUGGAAACUGGGGGACUUGAGUGCAGAAGAGGAGAGCGGAAUUCCACGUGUAGCGGUGAAAUGCGUAGAGAUGUGGAGGAACCCCAGUGGCGAAGGCGGCUCUCUGGUCUGUAACUGACGCUGAGGCGCGAAAGCGUGGGGAGCAAACAGG